UACGUAGGGUCCGAGCGUUGUUCGGAAUUACUGGGCGUAAAGCGCGCGCAGGCGGCUAUCCAAGUCAGUGGUGAAAGCCCAGAGCUCAACUCCGGAACUGCCAUUGAAACUGUUUAGCUUGAGUAUGAGAGAGGUGAGUGGAAUUCCCAGUGUAGAGGUGAAAUUCGUAGAUAUUGGGAAGAACACCGGUGGCGAAGGCGGCUCACUGGCUCAUUACUGACGCUCAGGCGCGACAGCGUGGGGAUCAAACAGG
rnacentral:rRNA from 1 species